rnacentral:tRNA from 1 species
CAGCAAGUAGUUUAUUAAAAAAUUUAGGUUUUGGAAAUUUAAGAAAAGUAUUUAACUUCUUGCUGA